CUGUAUUGCCUAAUACAUGCAAGUCGAGCGGACAGAUGGGAGCUUGCUCCCUGAUGUUAGCGGCGGACGGGUGAGUAACACGUGGGUAACCUGCCUGUAAGACUGGGAUAACUCCGGGAAACCGGGGCUAAUACCGGAUGGUUGUUUGAACCGCAUGGUUCAGACAUAAAAGGUGGCUUCGGCUACCACUUACAGAUGGACCCGCGGCGCAUUAGCUAGUUGGUGAGGUAACGGCUCACCAAGGCGACGAUGCGUAGCCGACCUGAGAGGGUGAUCGGCCACACUGGGACUGAGACACGGCCCAGACUCCUACGGGAGGCAGCAGUAGGGAAUCUUCCGCAAUGGACGAAAGUCUGACGGAGCAACGCCGCGUGAGUGAUGAAGGUUUUCGGAUCGUAAAGCUCUGUUGUUAGGGAAGAACAAGUGCCGUUCAAAUAGGGCGGCACCUUGACGGUACCUAACCAGAAAGCCACGGCUAACUACGUGCCAGCAGCCGCGGUAAUACGUAGGUGGCAAGCGUUGUCCGGAAUUAUUGGGCGUAAAGGGCUCGCAGGCGGUUUCUUAAGUCUGAUGUGAAAGCCCCCGGCUCAACCGGGGAGGGUCAUUGGAAACUGGGGAACUUGAGUGCAGAAGAGGAGAGUGGAAUUCCACGUGUAGCGGUGAAAUGCGUAGAGAUGUGGAGGAACACCAGUGGCGAAGGCGACUCUCUGGUCUGUAACUGACGCUGAGGAGCGAAAGCGUGGGGAGCGAACAGGAUUAGAUACCCUGGUAGUCCACGCCGUAAACGAUGAGUGCUAAGUGUUAGGGGGUUUCCGCCCCUUAGUGCUGCAGCUAACGCAUUAAGCACUCCGCCUGGGGAGUACGGUCGCAAGACUGAAACUCAAAGGAAUUGACGGGGGCCCGCACAAGCGGUGGAGCAUGUGGUUUAAUUCGAAGCAACGCGAAGAACCUUACCAGUCUUGACAUCCUCUGACAUCCUAGAGAUAGGACGUCCCCUUCGGGGCAGAGUGACAGUGGUGCAUGGUGUCGUCAGCUCGUGUCGUGAGAUGUUG
rnacentral:rRNA from 1 species